rnacentral:lncRNA from 12 species
UGCAGUACAGUUUUAGACCUUGUUUAAGGGGCGGAGGCUUAGUGGAGGAAGGGGGUUUAGCAAGUCUCCUAGGGGAAGGGCCUUCCAGAGAGGAAGUAGCUCCCCACCCCUUAAGGUAGGCAAAGUGAGCAGUGAAGAGAGUAAAGUGUUCUAGGGAGAGGAAGCAAGGCCUGCAAGCUAGUAGCGUAAGCCAAGCCUUGGGGAGAGAGGGCAUCCUGGCUGGACCUCAGCGCUGCUCAAAGCAGCCUGUCAAGCCAGGGAGUACAGGAGGCAGAGGUCAGAGGAGCUGGGCCCUCAGGGGGUUUCCACAGGAGCCAGCAGGACAGUCACAGGUAAGAAGGAGGCUCUCGACUGCUGGGGAAAGUGUUCAGGCAGGCUGGCCCGGCUCUGAAGGUGAGCAGAAUGAGGCAAUGAGCUCUGGGUGGCCAGGGGGAGGAUGGGGCAGGCCACCGCAGAGCACAACCAUAUGAAAGGCCCACAAGUGACUCCUGAACUGCACUCAGCGGGGGAGGGCCAAAGAGCAGGGCUAGUCCCUCUGCCACAGCCAUCAAGAGGGUAGCCAUGGCUGCUGACUUGGUGGGCUGUGCCAGGGCCCAGCACAUCUAGAGCAGCUGCAGUCUAGGGGUGGGGUGCGGGGCAGGACUUUGAUAAGAUUAAGAUGGAGUGGGAGGGGGCAAGAUCUGCCACCAGCCCAGGGGUCAUCCCCCUUCCCAAAGCCUUGGAGCUGCAUGAAUCCUGACCCUUCCUAAAGUCAUGUCACCAGUGCCAGCCUCUGUGCUGACCACCAGGCUUGGCACAGACUUGCCAGGCUCAUGAUCCAAGGCCCACUCACCAUCUCUGCCUGGAUAUCGCCAAGCAUCUCAGGUUUAACA